UACGGAGGGUGCAAGCGUUAUCCGGAUUCACUGGGUUUAAAGGGUGUGUAGGCGGGCAGAUAAGUCAGUGGUGAAAUCCCCGAGCUUAACUUGGGAACUGCCAUUGAUACUAUUUGUCUUGAAUGUCGUGGAGGUUGGCGGAAUAUGUCAUGUAGCGGUGAAAUGCUUAGAGAUGACAUAGAACACCUAUUGCGAAGGCAGCUAACUACGCGAAUAUUGACGCUGAGGCACGAAAGCGUGGGGAUCAAACAGG
rnacentral:rRNA from 1 species